CCUACGGGAGGCAGCAGUGGGGAAUAUUGCACAAUGGGGGAAACCCUGAUGCAGCGACGCCGCGUGAGUGAAGAAGUAUUUCGGUACGUAAAGCUCUAUCAGCAGGGAAGAAAAUGACGGUACCUGACUAAGAAGCCCCGGCUAACUACGUGCCAGCAGCCGCGGUAAUACGUAGGGGGCAAGCGUUAUCCGGAUUUACUGGGUGUAAAGGGAGCGUAGACGGCAGCGCAAGUCUGGAGUGAAAUCCCAUGGCUUAACCAGGGAACUGCUUUGGAAACUGUGCAGCUAGAGUGCAGGAGAGGUAAGCGGAAUGCCUAGUGUAGCGGUGAAAUGCGUAGAUAUUAGGAGGAACACCAGUGGCGAAGGCGGCUUACUGGACUGUAACUGACGUUGAGGCUCGAAAGCGUGGGGAGCAAACAGGAUUAGAUACCCUGGUAGUC
rnacentral:rRNA from 1 species